rnacentral:rRNA from 1 species
UACAGAGGGGGCAAGCGUUGUUCGGAAUUACUGGGCGUAAAGCGUGCGCAGGCGGCGCCGCAAGUCAGGCGUGAAAUCCCCGAGCUUAACUUGGGAAUGGCGCUUGAAACUACGGUGCUGGAGUGUGGCAGAGGGAGGUGGAAUUCCACGUGUAGCGGUGAAAUGCGUAGAGAUGUGGAGGAACACCGAUGGCGAAGGCAGCCUCCUGGGCCAACACUGACGCUCAUGCACGAAAGCUGGGGGAGCGAACGGG